UGGGGAAUCUUGCCCAAUGGGCGAAAGCCUGAGGCAGCGACGCCGCGUGAGGGAGGAAGGCCUUCGGGUUGUAAACCUCUUUUAAGAGAGAAGAAGCUACUCGGGUGAAUAGCCCAGAGGGUGACGGUAUCUCUUGAAUAAGCCCCGGCUAACUACGUGCCAGCAGCCGCGGUAAUACGUAGGGGGCAAGCGUUGUCCGGAUUUACUGGGCGUAAAGAGCGUGUAGGCGGCCAUGCAGGUCCGUUGUGAAAACUGGAGGCUCAACCUCCAGACGUCGACGGAAACCGUGUGGCUAGAGUCCGGAAGAGGAGAGUGGAAUUCCUGGUGUAGCGGUGAAAUGCGCAGAUAUCAGGAAGAACACCAAUGGCGAAGGCAGCUCUCUGGGACGGUACUGACGCUGAGACGCGAAAGCGUGGGGAGCGAACAG
rnacentral:rRNA from 1 species